AGUGAACGCUGGCGGUAGGCCUAACACAUGCAAGUCGAACGGCAGCACAGUAAGAGCUUGCUCUUACGGGUGGCGAGUGGCGGACGGGUGAGGAAUACAUCGGAAUCUACUUUUUCGUGGGGGAUAACGUAGGGAAACUUGCGCUAAUACCGCAUACGACCUACGGGUGAAAGCAGGGGAUCUUCGGACCUUGCGCGAUUGAAUGAGCCGAUGUCGGAUUAGCUAGUUGGCGGGGUAAAGGCCCACCAAGGCGACGAUCCGUAGCUGGUCUGAGAGGAUGAUCAGCCACACUGGAACUGAGACACGGUCCAGACUCCUACGGGAGGCAGCAGUGGGGAAUAUUGGACAAUGGGCGCAAGCCUGAUCCAGCCAUACCGCGUGGGUGAAGAAGGCCUUCGGGUUGUAAAGCCCUUUUGUUGGGAAAGAAAAGCAGCAGGUUAAUACCCCGCUGUUCUGACGGUGCCCAAAGAAUAAGCACCGGCUAACUUCGUG
rnacentral:rRNA from 1 species